CCUACGGGAGGCAGCAGUAAGGAAUAUUGGACAAUGGGCGCAAGCCUGAUCCAGCCAUGCCGCGUGAAGGAUGAAGGCCCUAUGGGUCGUAAACUUCUUUUAUACGGGACAAAACCCCCCGAUGCGUCGGGGGUUGAUGGUACUGUAAGAAUAAGGGUCGGCUAACUUCGUGCCAGCAGCCGCGGUAAUACGAAGGACCCGAGCGUUAUCCGGAUUUAUUGGGUUUAAAGGGUGCGUAGGCGGAUUAGUAAGUCAGUGGUGAAAGCCCAUCGCUUAACGGUGGAACUGCCAUUGAUACUGCUAGUCUUGAGUAUGGUUGAGGUGGGCGGAAUGUGUCAUGUAGCGGUGAAAUGCUUAGAUAUGACCCAGAACACCAAUUGCGAAGGCAGCUCGCUAAGCCAUAACUGACGCUGAUGCACGAAAGCGUGGGGAGCAAACAGGAUUAGAUACCCUGGUAGUCCACGCCCUAAACUAUGAUCACUCGUUGUUGGCGAUACACAGUCAGCGACUAAGGGAAACCAUUAAGUGAUCCACCUGGGAAGUACGACCGCAAGGUUGAAACUCAAAGGAAUUGACGG
rnacentral:rRNA from 1 species